rnacentral:lncRNA from 1 species
GGCCUCCUCUGCUCUGGCUCAUCGAGGGAUCUGCCAUGGGGCCCGGUGAGGGGUGCUGGGCAGCAGGACAGAGGGGCACGUGCAGUGGGGACAGUGGCUCGAGCGGUGGAACUCUAGCCCCAGGAGCCGUACCGACUCCCACUCGCUCCUGAAGACGUCUUGAGCUCCUCCAAUUAGUCGAAUCUGUUGAGGCGAAAUCCUCAUAUUCCGGUGCUACAAAGGCAGCCGUGCUCAUGCAGGGGUUCUGGUCGGGGUCGGCCCGAGAUGGGGAAGGAAGACGGUGACGGCACAGCAUCAGCGUGCACCCGGCGCUUGUGAUGCCCCUUCUGGCACCUGCAGGCCGCCCCUCUUCCUCUGCUGCCAGCAUCCCACAGAGGACGGGGGCCCCUCCGGGAACAGGAAUCCCUCCCAGACACAGACUGUGCCCCUGCACUCCCAGGGCACAAUGCAAAAUGCUGUUUGAACUCAGGCCGGACAGGAUCUCACCAAGAUCAGCAGGAACGAGGAGGCCUGGCAGGAGCACAGACCCCAGAGAAAAAGCAAAACCACCAGAGAGGGGACGGUUGGGGGCGUCCUCACAGCCCUGCUCUGACGUGUUGUCCACACUCACCUGAAACCUCUGCACGAAGCAAAUGUCCUGAGCUCAGUUGCAGUAUGUGUCUGAGGGACUCGUUCCCUGGGUCUGUACUGCAGUUAGACCAUGUGCUCCUCAACAUCCCAUUUCCUCACCAACGUGAAACUCACGUAAACAUAAAAUUAGCUAUUUUAAUGUAUACAUCCUGGUGGGGCUUAGUGAAUUCAUGACAUGGCCAAACCAUCAUUCCAUCUAGCUCCAAAGAAACUUCACCCCAAGAACACAUCACCCCAAAGAAACUUCUGUGCCCACUGAGCAAUCAUCUUGCUGCCCCACUGCCCAGGCCCUAGUGACCACCCCGCUGCUGUCUCCAUAGACUUGACUGUUCUGAAUAUUUCAAGUACAAGAUGUAACCUUCUGUGCCUGGCUUGUUUCUCUCCAUACAAUCCGAUCUAGGUUGGCACAGGUUUAGCUUUCUGGGGCCUUCUGAGCUCCCUCCUGUUACGGCUGGAUAAUACUGCACCGCGGGGCCAGGCCACAUUUGGUCUACCGUCCACCUGCUGCAAGAACGUGUAAGCUGCUCUGCAUUCUGACUGUGGAUAACGUGUUCAGAACCUUUGGGGACACGUAUUUGACUUUAUUUCCAGGUCUUGGGGGUGUGUGACUAGGAGAGGGCUUGCAGGGUCACAUGGUAACUCUGGGUUUAACUUUUUGAAGAACUACUAUCCUGUCUCCCACAGCAACUGAUCCGUUUCGUGUCCUACCACCACCUGAUGCUGAUACCUCCACAUCCUCACUAGCUGACACUUGUCUGUCCUUAUCAUCAUCGUUCUCCUGGGUGUGAUGUUGUUUCCACUUCAUGUUGCUGAUGGCUAGUGAUGUUGAGCACCUCUUUUUUUUUUUCUAAAAUUUUAUUUAUUUAUUCAUGGGAGACACACAGAGAGAGGCAGAGACAUAGGCAGAGGAAGAAGCAGGCUCCCUGCAGGGAGCCGGAAGCGGGGGUUCAAACCCAGGACCCCAGGAUCACAACCUGAGCUGAAGGCAGACGCUCAACCACUGAGCCAACCAGGUGUCCAAUGUUGAGCGGACAUUUGUUUAUUUAUCUUCUUUGGAGAAACAUCUAUCCAAACGCACGGCCCAUUUUUUCAAUUGAGGUUUUUGCCUUCUUUGUUGUUGGGUUGUAAGAGUUCUUUAUACACUCUUAAGACCCUGCCAGAUCUCUGGGUUGUCAAUGCAUUCUUUCAUUUAAGUGAUUUGUCUUUUUACUUCCUUGAUAAUGUUCUUUGGUACACAAAUGCUUUUCAUUUCGAAAGAGCAGUUUAUCUAGUUUGUUGUGUUGCUCAUGCUUUUUGUGCCAGAUUUAAGAAUCCAUUGCCAAAUUCUCGGUUGUAAAGAUUUAACUGUUUCUACCUGAGAGUUCUGUACUUUUAGCUCUUAGACUUAGGUUGCCAACUCAUUCUAAGCUGAUUUUUGUGUAGAGUGUGAGAUGAGGGUCAACUUUCUUCUUUUACAUGUGGAAAUCCAAUUUCCCUGCAUCAUUUUGUUGGAGAUGAUUCCUUCCUCCUUGGGUGGUCCUGGAGCCCCUUUUGAAAACCAACCAGCCAAAAGGACACAGGUUUGUUUCUGAACUCUGGUCUAUCCCAUUGCUCUAUAGGUCUGUCCUUAUGACAGUUUUAAAUUAUGUAAAUAUGGGUAGCCCCGGUGGCCCAGCAGUUUGGCACUGCCUUUGGCCUGGGGUGUGAUCCUGGAGACCUGGGGUCAAGUCCUGCGUCAGGCUCCCUGCGUGGAGCCUGCUUCUCCCUCUGCCUGUGUCUCUGCCUCUCUCUCUCUCUCUCAGUCUCUGUGACUGUCAAGAAUAAAUAAAUAAAAUUUUUAAAAAUUCUGUAAGUACUGUAGAUUUGUGACAAGUUUUAACACCAGACGGUGUGAGUUCUCCAGCUUUUUUGCCCUACCACUCAGCAUUGUUUCAGCUCUUCAGAGACCUUGGAUCCCAUAAAAGUUUGAGAAUCACCUUUUCCAUUUCUACAAAUGAGGCCAUGUGAAUUUAAACGAGAACCCUACUGACCCCAUGACCACAGGGGGUACCGUACCGGUACUGUCCUCACAAUAUUGACACCUUCCUUCUGUAAACAUGGUAGGUCUUUUGGUUUAGGUUUGAGCUCAUUUCUUUUAGCAAUGCUUUCCAUUUUUAUUCUACAUGUCUUUCACCUCCUUGGUUGAAUUUAUUUCUACGUAUUUUAUUGUUUGGGAUGCUUUUGUAAAUGGGAUUGUUUCUUCACUUCACUUUCCUAUCACAUGUUGCAAGUGGACAUAAACACAACUGAUGCUACACUGUGAGCUUCCUGCAUUUCCCACGCUUCCCACCUUGUUGCUCUAAGAUUGACGUACAACAUUGUCAUUACAUUUCAGGUGUACUCAGCGGUGCCUUGGGGACUCAGUCAGUGAGGUGUCUACCUUCGGCUCAGGGCAUGUUCCCAGGGUCCUGGGAUCGAGUCCUGCAUCAGGAUCCCUGCUUGAUAGGGCUGCUUCUCCCUCCCCCUCUGCCUCUCACCCUGCUCAUGCUCUCUCUCUUUCUCUCUCUCUCUCUUUCAAAUAAAUAAAUAAAUAAAUAAAUAAAUAAAUAUUCAAAGUGUACUCCCAUUUUUUUCAGAUCUCUGAAAAUUAUGGCACCAGAAAAGAAAGGUUUGGAAA